rnacentral:rRNA from 1 species
CGCAUCUGUGCAUGCAGCAUAUCAAUAAGCGGAGGAAAAGAAACUAACAAGGAUUCCCUUAGUAACGGCGAGUGAAGCGGGAAGAGCUCAAAUUUGAAAUCUUCAAGGGUUUACCUUGACGAAUUGUAGUUUAAAGAAGUGUUUUCUGCUGAGGUUUUGGUAAAAGUUCUUUGGAAUAGGACAUCAUAGAGGGUGAGAAUCCCGUAUUUGACCAUUACUUUCAACUUUGUGAUACACUUUCAAAGAGUCGGAUUGUUUGGGAAUGCAGUCCAAAAUGGGUGGUAAAUUUCAUCUAAAGCUAAAUAUUGGCGAGAGACCGAUAGCGAACAAGUACCGUGAGGGAAAGAUGAAAAGAACUUUGAAAAGAGAGUUAAACAGUACGUGAAAUUGUCAAAAGGGAAGCGUUUGACACCAGUGUUGUUUUCUCGAAAAUCAAUUAAAGAAUGCUCGAUUUAUGUAAGUUGCUUAGACCUUUAUAAGCUCAUCUGUACAGUUUUCGUGUCUUUUUUAAUGCACUUUUCAGUUAACAAGUCAACAUCAAUUUCUUUUGUUGUAAAAAGGUCAUUGGAAGGUGGCUUGCGAUUCGUAUAAGUGUUUAUAGCCUCUUGCCUCUGCAGUCGGAGAGACUGAGGUCUGCAGCGUAGACUCUUCGGGGUUAGAUACAUUUGUGCUAAGUUAUAGCUUUUUAUAGACAACUUGUUGACUAUGAUUAGUCUUGUAGCUUACUCGCUUAUGCUAUUUUACCUACGCUUAGGAUGUUGAUAGUCACAGCGUGUAC